rnacentral:ncRNA from 1 species
ACAGUACAAACUGAACAGGUCAUAAAUAUUGUGUUUAUGGAGUCGGGUCGUUUUUUAUACGGCAGCAGAUGAUAGUCAUACACAUCUGUGGGACAGU